rnacentral:lncRNA from 1 species
CGGCGACCAUUCAGCCGGGUAGCGUCCGGCUGGCACGAGGCGGCCGCAGCCGCUCCUGGUGGAGGACCUGGCGGUUCGUGGUGGGGCGGCGGGACAGCCUGCCUCCCUCUCCUGCUUUGCCCGGGGCUUCUGAGGUGACUCUACUUGAAUUUUCCAGCUGAAGAAUAUGUAGUACCUUUAAAGGUUAGCAAUGACGAGCACGCU